UCCCAAAACCAAAGCAACAGAGUAUCUC
rnacentral:sRNA from 1 species